GGCUGGUCUGAAGGUAGCGAGUUAUCUCAGUCGAUUUCCAUAGUUACAGGUUGAACUCUUUGCUCCACUCUUUCCCGUGCUUCUCACUUCUGCACUUCAUGAAUUUAAA
rnacentral:Y_RNA from 1 species